AGCGAACGCUGGCGGCAGGCCUAACACAUGCAAGUCGAACGAACUCUUCGGAGUUAGUGGCGGACGGGUGAGUAACACGUGGGAACGUGCCUUUUGGUUCGGAAUAACUCAGGGAAACUUGUGCUAAUACCGAAUGUGCCCUUCGGGGGAAAGAUUUAUCGCCAUUAGAGCGGCCCGCGUCUGAUUAGCUAGUUGGCGAGGUAACGGCUCACCAAGGCGACGAUCAGUAGCUGGUCUGAGAGGAUGACCAGCCACACUGGGACUGAGGCACGGCCCAGACUCCUACGGGAGGCAGCAGUGGGGAAUCUUGCGCAAUGGGCGAAAGCCUGACGCCGCCAUGCCGCGUGAAUGAUGAAGGUCUUAGGAUUGUAAAAUUCUUUCACCGGGGACGAUAAUGACGGUACCCGGAGAAGAAGCCCCGGCUAACUUCGUG
rnacentral:rRNA from 1 species